AAAGCCCUUUUGUUGGGAAAGAAAAGCAGCCGGUUAAUACCCGGGUUGUUCUGACGGUACCCAAAGAAUAAGCACCGGCUAACUUCGUGCCAGCAGCCGCGGUAAUACGAAGGGUGCAAGCGUUACUCGGAAUUACUGGGCGUAAAGCGUGCGUAGGUGGUUGUUUAAGUCUGUCGUGAAAGCCCUGGGCUCAACCUGGGAAUGGCGAUGGAAACUGGACGACUAGAGUGUGGCAGAGGGUAGUGGAAUUCCUGGUGUAGCAGUGAAAUGCGUAGAGAUCAGGAGGAACAUCCGUGGCGAAGGCGACUGCCUGGGCCAACACUGACACUGAGGCACGAAAGCGUGGGGAGCAAACAGGAUUAGAUACCCUGGUAGUCCACGCCCUAAACGAUGCGAACUGGAUGUUGGGUGCAAUUUGGCACGCAGUAUCGAAGCUAACGCGUUAAGUUCGCCGCCUGGGGAGUACGGUCGCAAGACUGAAACUCAAAGGAAUUGACGGGGGCCCGCACAAGCGGUGGAGUAUGUGGUUUAAUUCGAUGCAACGCGAAGAACCUUACCUGGCCUUGACAUGCACGGAACUUUCCAGAGAUGGAUUGGUGCCUUCGGGAACCGUGACACAG
rnacentral:rRNA from 1 species